rnacentral:lncRNA from 1 species
UGUAACCAACCCUCUUACCUGUAAUCUCUGGCAUUUUAUUAGUUUUGAUUUGAAAAUUUCUUAUCUUUGGGUUUUGUUCGUACUUUUGCUCUUUUUCCUUUGGAAACAAUAAAAGCGCGGUGGCGACUCUAGUUUUACUGACAUCAAGUUUAUGCAUAACUUGAUGGUCAUGAAUUUACCGCUACAGAAAUAAAAUGGUGACUCUGCUGGGGAGUAGUCCUCAGUGGGUUUAGCCUACUUUUUUUGUG